AAGUCGUAACAAGGUCUCCGUUGGUGAACCAGCGGAGGGAUCAUUACAGAGUCUCAAAAACUCACCAAACCAUUGUGAACAUACCUUAUAUACAGCUCCUCCGGCAGGGAGCCCCAGGGCGGGGCUCGGCGUCAAGCAACCUGCCGGAGGCGGCGCAACUCUUGCUCUUUAUAGUAUCAUCUGAGCCAAAGACAAAAUUAUCAAAAUUUUCAACUGUGGAUCUCUUGGUUCUG
rnacentral:misc_RNA from 1 species